CCUACGGGGGAAAGAUUUAUCGGGGAAGGAUUGGCCCGCGUUGGAUUAGCUAGUUGGUGGGGUAAAGGCCUACCAAGGCGACGAUCCAUAGCUGGUCUGAGAGGAUGAUCAGCCACAUUGGGACUGAGACACGGCCCAAACUCCUACGGGAGGCAGCAGUGGGGAAUAUUGGACAAUGGGCGCAAGCCUGAUCCAGCCAUGCCGCGUGAGUGAUGAAGGCCUUAGGGUUGUAAAGCUCUUUCACCGGAGAAGAUAAUGACGGUAUCCGGAGAAGAAGCCCCGGCUAACUUCGUGCCAGCAGCCGCGGUAAUACGAAGGGGGCUAGCGUUGUUCGGAAUUACUGGGCGUAAAGCGCACGUAGGCGGAUAUUUAAGUCAGGGGUGAAAUCCCAGAGCUCAACUCUGGAACUGCCUUUGAUACUGGGUAUCUUGAGUAUGGAAGAGGUAAGUGGAAUUCCGAGUGUAGAGGUGAAAUUCGUAGAUAUUCGGAGGAACACCAGUGGCGAAGGCGGCUUACUGGUCCAUUACUGACGCUGAGGUGCGAAAGC
rnacentral:rRNA from 1 species